rnacentral:lncRNA from 1 species
GGAGUAAAGUAAAUUCUGACCGUUCCCUGUGGUUAAAUUAGGUCUUUUUUUGUGUUGUCGGAAAACGUUGGAUCAUCAUACUAGUUCAUUUGUUCUUUUGAUUCUGUUCCUGAGAUGUUUGGACCUAGACAACAUCAAGUACAAAAAUUCAGAAGUCUUAUUAAUUGGCAAGUCUUUUCAAAGUCCCCACAUUCUUCUUGCAUUGCAGCUGGUUGAGUGAGAUGUGUUGCGUGCUCUCAAAGCAAAUCUUGCCUGUUUGUGUUACGGCUGUAGCCAUCUACUCCCUCCGCCCGAAAAAGUUUGUCCCUCAAAUGAUUGUAUAUAGCAUCAAGUUAGUGCUAGAUACAUCCAUUUGAGGGACAAGCUUGGAACAAGUUUUUUCAGACGGAGGGAGUAUUUGGCUACAGUCCUGGUAAAUAAGAGCCUGAUGUUUUUGGUAUCUGUAUUUCUCUGACGAGGCACUAUUACACAUCAGGUUCAUUUGUUCCUUAAAUGUGUUCCAGAGAUGAGUUAUCUUCAGUUUGGACCUGGACAACAUCAAGUAGGAGUACAAAAAUUCACAUGUCUUAGCAUAGUUCUUGCAUUGGAGCUGAAUGACAUGUACUCAGCAACUCUUGCUUUCAAGUGUUGCAUGUGGCCAUAGUGCUAGGUCUGCAAGAACUUUUGAAAAGGUCAUUUUUUGUACUUUUUGUCACGUGGAUAUCUCUGACCAGGUAGUAGCAUAUGUGUUGCUGGCAUUGGCAUGGCAGUGACAUGAAGAGGUCAGAGCAUGUGCUUGACCGGUUCACUUGAGUUCAGCCUUGGGUUGGCUUUAGGUGAUAGAUUUUUCUCAUCGACGGUCGUUGACAGGCGAUGAGGACGCGUGGAGAGACAGAGAUGGAUGGAAAAACACUCUGAUGACGACAAGCAAAGCAAGGGAAAAAAAUGACUUGUUUUUUUGGCCCCAAGAACAAGUCAAAGUCUUUUCAGCAAAUCCUUACUGUUUCCUAUGCUUGAAUUAGGUGUUCUUUUCUUGUGUUGCCGAAAAAUAGCAGUACAUCAUAGCAGUUCAUUUGUUCUUCUGAUUCUUUUAUUACUGAGAUACAUAAGUGGUGCAGUCAGGAUUGGAGCGAACCUCGGGCCACGCAAAAUUCAGCAUGAAGAAAAACUUUAGAGCAACUCCACUGAGGCGACCCAUUUCGUCCGCUGCCGUCCGUUUGGGUCGGCGCGAACAGAAAAGACGCCCCAACGCGCCAACCCAAAACGGACGCGCGUCCGCUUUUCGUCCACAGGCGACCCAUUCCCGGCCCAUUUUUGAACCAGAUUUGCGUCGGCGACGGACACGUGCACGCUCGCCCUCUCCUCCCCCAGGCCCGCUGGUCUGUGUCACAUUGUCCUCCCCCAUCCAACAGCAACCCACGCCCUCCUCCUUCGUCGCCGCCGCCGCCGCCCAUUUUUGCCAGCGACUCUGCCAGCUGCCGGGGCCUCCACAUCCGCCCAGCUACGCCGCCCACUCCCGCGUUGCCCGCCACCGCCGUCUUGCCGCCGGGAGCCGACUGCUUCCAACCCCCCGCGCCCCCCACCACACAGCCGCCCCCGACCAAGAAGCCAUCUCGCCGCCCGGCCAGAUCCUCACCGGCGCGCUCGUCGGACGCCGGCAGGACAACUAGCUGGUUCGUGCGCGCAGCGACUCCCUCUGCAGGCCGUCUCCUUCGUCGAUGCCCGCAAGCUGUUCGACAGUUUGCCAAGGUAGAAAAUGGACUCCGCCGACGAGUUCUUUUUUCACAAUUUUCUUUGCGACUCCGACGAUUCGUCCUCCGAUGACGAGGAGGAGAUAUUGGCUGCCGUGUUGGUCCAUCACCACCUCAAUAGCCAGCAGCCAUUGUUCCGUGGCUCCAUUUCGGGCCACCUUCCGGCGUUGAAUUGCAACGGAGAGAGCGGGCAUUUCCUUCUUUGGAAGGACUACUUUGAUACAACAAACCCAUUGUUCAAACAUCAGAAAUUUCACCGCCGUUUCCGUACGAGUAGGCAUCUUUUCAACCGUAUUAGAGAGGGGGUGGUCGGCUAUGAUGACUAUUUCGAGUGCAAAGAGGAUGCCAUUGGCAAGAUUGGUUUUUCCUCUUAUCAGAAAUGCACUGCCGCCAUCCGAAUGCUUGCAUACGGAGUGCCUAGUGAUCUCAUUGACGAGUACGUCUGUAUGAGCGAGUCUACUUGCCUAGAAUCACUGUAUAAGUUCUGCAAGGCUAUUAUUGUUGUGUUUGGUCCUGAGUACUUGAGAGAGGUGACUGCUGUAGAUACAGCCCGUUUGUUGGCGAUGAAUGCCAGCAGGGGCUUCCCAGGGGAUGCUUGGUAGUAUAGACUGCAUGCACUGGGAGUGGAAGAACUUCCCUUCUGCUUGGCAAGGGCAAUAUAAGGGCCAUGUCAGGGCUUGCCCUGUCAUACUUGAGGCCGUGGCGUCUCAAGAUCUCUGGAUCUAGCACUCUUUCUUUGGCAUGGCCGGAUCAAACAAUGAUAUCAACGUGCUUCAGCGCUCGCUGGUGUUUGCUAGGCUUGCCGAAGGCAACGGCCCACUGGUGAACUUUACUGUCAACGGCCACACUUACGACAAAGGAUACUAUCUGGGUGACGGUAUCUAUCCUUAGAGGACCACUAUUGUCAAGACAAUACCCAACCCCGUCGGAGAGAAGAGGAAAGAAUUUGCCCAAGAACAAGAGAGUGCUAGGAAGGAUGUCGAGCGUGCCUUUGGUGUUUUGCAAUCUUGAUGGUGCAUCGUUCGGUAUCCUGCUAAUACCUGGAGCAUGCAGAAACUGUGGGAAGUGAUGACUGCUUGUGUGAUCGUGCAUAAUAUGAUCGUAGAAGACGAGCGCCCGGAACGUCUGUAUGAUCAAGGUUUCAGUUUCAGGGUGAGAAUGUUGUGCGUGAGCAUGGAGUAGCGGCAACGUUUGAACAGUUCACCCAAUUUCAUCAAGACAUGCGUGAUUGGGAAACUCACGUGCAAUUGAAAAAUGAUUUGGUUGAGCAUAUGUGGGCUCAUGUUGGAAACCAAUAGAUGUAUCUUUUUUUAUUCGUUUGCAAAACUAUUGUGAGAGCUAUGUGGACCUUUUUAUUUUCAUUUGGCUUGUAAUAAACUACACUAUCUUAUUGGGUCCAAAACGAUUUUACUUUGAACUAUGCAAUCAUGCAAAAUAAAAAAAUAAAGGGGCCAGGCAGCCACGCCGGCACAUAUGGGUCGGCGCGUUGGGCAUCCUGCGGACCCAUAUCUAAAACAGGGCGGGCGGCCGACCCAAACGGACAAAAAGCGGACGAAAUCGCCGUCCGUUUGGGUCGCCUAUUGGAGUUGCUCUUAGCGCCUACACAACCCCAAAAGCACCUUCAAAACUGCCUGACAAAAUAUCCAAUGUGAAAACAUACUGAAUACGGAUCAAUUGCACAACAAAUUUAUUUAAAACCUAAACUCAAGGCGCCCAUAUGUAGUACUCCCUCCGUCCGGAAAUACUUAUCAUCAAAAUGAAUAAAAGGAGAUGUAUCUAGAUGUAUUUUAGUUCUAGAUACACCCCUUUUGUCCAUUUUAAUGACAAGUUUUUUCGGACGGAGGGAGUAUAAGCCAAGGUUUUCGUGUGGCUGCCAGGGCAUUAACUGGACACCGAUGGAAGAAUUAUCUUCAUAUUCCACUCCGUAUUUGACAACUACUUGUGCCAAAAGUUGAAACAAAAUUGCGGCCUGGACUGAGCGGCGCGCCGAAGCGAGAGAGCAUCAGCAGCCGAGCGUCGUUGGCUGGCUGCACCUGCGGUCGGGAUUGACUGGAAGAUGAGGCUGGCCGGGUCUAGUGGUGGGUGGGCUGCUUCUCUCGUAGGCAGGCUCCACCUAAUUCAGGCCCAAUAGAUAAUCUCUCCACUUUACGGGUGGGUGUGUAUCUCUGAAGUUAUGGUUAAGGGUACCCCUUGCGGAGGUCACUCUCAUCUUCUCAGGCGUUGACAAGUAAAGCAUUGCAUGUGCUUCACUUGUUGCAACAUGUGAGUUUUUUUUAGAUUCAUUUUUCUUAAAAAAAAAUUUAUCUUUUAAACCGUGUGUCUAAAUUUUCAACCUUUUCACUGUUGAAUUUAUCGCAUAGAGAUCUUCAAAACUAGAUAACAUGUUAAUAGCUAUCGCUGAAACCUUUUUUCACAAAAAAAAAUGGAAGAAAAAACCGAAGAAGAACAAGCGUGCUUCUCGAGGAAGCAAAACAUAAAUUUAGAAAAAAAUAAAAUCAUGAUUUUUUUUCUCUUUCUAUGCUUCUCGUCAACAAAAAAUAAAAAGUUCACACAAAAAUAAGUUUGUGUUUUUUUCUCUUUCUGAGAAGCACAACUAUGCUUUUCGCCGAAGCAACUAUGUGCUUCUCAUGGAAGCACAAAAAAUAAAAGGUUCACACAAAAAUAAGUUUGUGUUUCCUCUCCAAAAUCUAGGAAAAACCAGGCAAAAAAAUCAUCUAAAAUCCGAAAACGUGUAAAAAAACCCAGAGGGAUCGUCUAGCACUCGACACAUGGUGGCAGUUGGAUGCACCACUUGGCGAGCUCUCAGCCCACAAAAAAGUGACUCCGCGGGGCUCUCGCAAGGGGUACCCUUUGCAUAGUUGCUGUCGUCUCGGAAAUCUCUCCCGCCACCUAAAACGCAACGACGACAACUCACCCACAUCGCCUUUUCCUUUUCUUUUCUCUUUCGUUCUUUUACAUAAUUUAUGUUUACAAUUCUUUUAUAUAUUUCUAUAAAUGUUGUAGAAACAAAAGUUUGGAUAAGUAAUUGUUCAUAUUUUUUUAAAAUGCCUUGUACUUUAAAAUUUUCACUAUGCAUUAAAAAUAUAUUUUGAAAAUGCUUGUAUGAUUCUAAAACGUACACAAGUUUUAAAAUAUGUGCAUGAUAUUAUUUUUUACAAAUUAAAAAACUGUUCAUACAGGUUUAUGAGUUUGUUAAUGCCAUUUUACAAAAUUGUUCACGAACUGUAAAAUAUCAUUAGCGUUAUUUUGAAAAACAAUGUGUCAAAAAAUCCAGAGAAUGUUAAAUUCAAAAACUGCUCACAUAUUUUAAAAUAUGUUCAUGCAACUUUAAAAAAUUGACCAUGUAAUCAAAAAGUGUUCAAGUGCAUUUGAAAUAUAUUUCAUAUGUGUUAGUAAACAUGUUCAACAUGUAUUUUAAAAAUGUUUAACAUGUUUCUGAAAAUGUUAUACAUUUACUGGGAAAUGGUCGACGUGUAUUUAUAGAUAUGUCUAUGCGUCUAUAAAUGUUUUUCAAAAGAAGAAUAAAAAUGAAAAAUGGAAAUAUUUAGUACAUCUAAGAAAAAUGUUCAUUACACUUGAAAUGUUUGGACCUGGACAGCAUCAAGUACAAAAAUUCAGAAGUUCACUUUCGCAUGUUUUUCGAAGUCCCACAUUAUUCUUGCGUUGCAUCUGGUUGAGUGAGAUGUGUGUUGCAUACUCAAAGUAAAUCUUGCCUGUUUG